UUGAACGCUGGCGGAAUGCUUUGCACAUGCAAGUCGAGCGGCAGCGCGGGGGCAACCCUGGCGGCGAGCGGCGAACGGGUGAGUAACAUAUCGGAACGUACCCAGACGUGGGGGAUAACACAUCGAAAGAUGUGCUAAUACCGCAUACGACCUGAGGGUGAAAGGGGGGGAUCGCAAGACCUCUCGCGUUUGGAGCGGCCGAUAUCGGAUUAGCUAGUUGGUGAGGUAAAGGCUCACCAAGGCGACGAUCCGUAGCUGGUCUGAGAGGACGACCAGCCACACUGGAACUGAGACACGGUCCAGACUCCUACGGGAGGCAGCAGUGGGGAAUUUUGGACAAUGGGGGCAACCCUGAUCCAGCCAUGCCGCGUGAGUGAAGAAGGCCUUCGGGUUGUAAAACUCUUUCGGCAGGAAAGAAACGGUGACGACUAAUACUAGGCACUAAUGACGGUACCGGAAGAAGAAGCGCCGGCUAACUACGU
rnacentral:rRNA from 1 species